GGUGCCCAAAAUAGGUAUUACGAGGCACCAAAUCCCUAUGACAGGUGGUAUGAUAAUUGUGUUGAGUGGUGCGACCCUCUUUUGUAAAAUCACCCAUGCAUUAAACAUCUUCAUGAUUCACAUACAUAGGGACUCAUUGGGUAGGCUUGUUCUUAUUUUUUGUUUCAAUACAAACCUAGGUGCUCAUAUGGGACACCUUAGGUUUGUC
rnacentral:lncRNA from 1 species